rnacentral:lncRNA from 10 species
CUUUUGCAAACUUCCAGGUUUUAUUUUUCAUGUAUGUGUAGUCCUUCAAUGGAGAACAUUUUCUUAGAGUGUCUCCUCUGUUUGGUACCAGCUGUCAGAGCCCCUGGCUAUGGUGGGGAAGCAGCUGCUUGGAGGUCUAACCUGACUGACAGUUGGACACAGGGGGAAAUCUUGGGAGAACAGAGUAGGGAGAGAAGACUCGUGGCCUUCCUCUCCAGCUAAUAAGUUUGAGAUAAGCCCGGAAAUGGCAUCUCCAAACUGAUAUUAGCAGAUCCCAGAAUUUGUUAGUUUUUGAAAGGCACAACUUAAAAUUUAUUGGUAAGGCAGACUUGGUGGACAAAGGAAACCAGAUUGUGGUCAGACAACGGUUAUGCUUGCCACAGGGUGGUGGUGAACUAGGAGGUAGGAGUUUAUCCUGGUCCCAGCCAGAUCAGCUCUGCAUUUGAACAGAACAUUGCUGCCAACACCUACCUUGGGGGUUAGUAACCACGGAAGCCAUGGGGAAUUUCUACUUCAACCUGUUCUGAUGAGGGAUCGUGUUUUGAUAUUUCUCUCUGCAGAUAAGUUUCAUUUCUAAUUUUAAUUUUAACAUUUGGAUUGUGUUCUGGCCAGAUUGGAAAGGUCUCUCUGCUCAUUUGCAGAAAGAACACGCUCUUCCCAGUGAAAUCUUAGUAGCAAUACUCUGCAGUUUCCAAGAAUCCUUCCCUCCUCCUCACUCCCUACUCCUACUGAUUGCCAGAGUGUCAGAGACCUGAAAUUGCCUCUUUUCUCACAUGACUGACCCACUCGUAUGAGUCAGGAGUGCCUGGAUUAAAAUGUGGUAAAAAAGAGCCCCAAAUGUCAUAUGUCAUUGGCUUCAACCAAAGGUUUAUUACUCACAUGCACUUCACAUCCAGCAGAGCUUGGUGCAGAAUUCGGGGUGUAGGGGCCCCAGGACCUGAGUGACAAAUGACUCCUCCAUCAUUUGUCACUCAGGUCCUGGGGCUGAGGAAGCCUCCUCCAUCUCAUGCCACUGGCGUCUCCACACAAAGCUUCCAGAUCCUGGGAAGAGAAGGCUGGAGAGUCAAGCCGGCUCAUACCUUACUGGCCAUGACUAGUCAGAGAAACAAGGAAUUACGACCCUCCACGUGUCUGGAAGUAGAAGAGAAGUGGCUUCAGGUGACCUGUAGUAACCUGUGCAGACUGAGCCUUUGCUUUUUGAUCCUGUUGUGCGAUUCCUUUCCAAGUCCAGGUGCUUUUGCUCUUCUUGGGAGCCCCUCAAUAGUUCUCAAAGGAUUGCUUUUUGAAGAACUUGUCUUUGAUUCUCUUGAGAGAGAGAGUCUAACGUAGUGGUUAAAGGCACAGAUUCUACAGCCAGACUUCCUGGGUUUGAAUUUGGCUCCAAGCAAAUGUUCUAAUGUCUCUGACCCUCGAUUUCUCAUCUGUAAAAUGGAGACAAUGAUAACACCUACCUUCCAGGGUUAUUAUGCUGAAAUUGGUCACACAGCCUCGAGUCCCAAGGCCCGGACAGAUGUGUUCUAUACACUUGUUUAAACACGGCGCUCAUUAGGAGGUAAUGCAUGUAUGGCAAGUUGAUUACACCACAAAGCAGGAUGCUUUAUCAUGGGGGCCUCUCAGGAGGCGGCGGGAGGGGCGGUCAGCUGCUGCUGUCACUCUUCCCCCCUCGGAUCCUGAGUGACGGCUCGGCCUGCCACCUCCUCAGCCGCCUGCUCGGAAGUACACAGCUUCCCGUCAGAGCGCCGCCGAGCUGCCUGGGAGGAGGUAUUAAUUGUUGUCAGCCUCCAUUUCACACCCCAGAUAACAAACGAG